UGAGAAUGUUAAAUGUUUGGAACCCAGUGGCUAAGUACAACAUUGCCAAAUGUCAUGCCGAAAACAGGAAAGCUUUCCUGGGCCCUGGAUGUAAAGGCCAGGGAGCAACGCAAGGAGAAGUCUGCAAGGAAAAUUACAGCAACACAGAAGCCUGUGCUGGCCUGGUGCAAUCCCUUCUGCAGUUCUUACAGGAAGCAAAAGAAAUAGCAGUCCAGCAGUGGGCCUGGCCUCCACGCCACACCUCCUUCCACGUCUGCAGUUGGAGCAGGAAGGGCAGUGGUGGGGCCGACUCCCUGACAGGGAUCAGAACAGUACAUUUCAAGAACAAAGCCUGUGCCGUUUACCUGCAGAUCAAAGUUGGCUCUUAAUAAGAUGUGUGUCGGAGGGGGCAGAGAGAGGACUGUUUCCCUUUAUUCCAUUAAAAAGGGAUUAUGAGGUGACUGACCAGCAUCAUGAAAAUAUGCUGCAAUAUCCUCAUCUUAAAAAGUGAAGAUAAUAAAGAAAAAAAAAACUUUUUAUGGAUCCAAGGCUGGUGUUCAGCUGGAACACACCAGAACUACCAUCCUGACUGUUAAAAUAUUGAAACACUUCUGGACCUGGUGGCACUUGAAAUGUAUCACUUCACUUAAUCUUUUGAAUAACUCUACGAAGCGGAUGCUCCCAUUAGUCUAUUUUACUGAUAAGGAAACUGGGGCUAAAGUAGCACCAUUUGUCCAAGGUUACUAGUAAACAGUAAACAGUAGGAGGAAGAUUCAAACCCAGGUAGACUGACUUCCAGAGACCACACCUUUAACCAGUAUUCUGUCCUUCCUCUCCAGUCGAUUAGUCCCUGAAGAGCGAGACAAAGAAGGCUGAGGUAGAAGGCCCUGCAUACAUAAAGGAUCGUGAGAAGUUCAAACAGGACACAUGGAGAACCUGAAGGAUGGGGCUCUAACAGUCCCAGGUGGAUCUCUGGCUCCUCAGCGAUGGACAUUUAGCCAUUGCCGGUGAAGGUGUAGGAUAGUGACUGGGCCCUGGGGCAGCCAACCUGGUUCCACUGCACAGGUCUUUGGUGCGCUGGGGUUCCCAGGGACUGUGCUUGACUGUGUCCCCCGGUCGCCUGCCCCAAUGGCCAGGGAGUCCUUCUUGCUGUGUCAGCAAGGAGAUCUCUGACUCUCCCUUUAACACCAGGCUGCCUCAACACCAUGGCAUCAGAGCAUCCUGAAAGAUCCCAAGAGCUAUUCCAGUUCAUCCCUCUGCUUCUGAAAAGGAUUUUUCCUAAGAAAAGAUUUCUCCAACUCCUUCAGCCUCCCGUUCCAAUGUCAUAUCAUCCUUUCCGUGAAGAUACACUUACUCAAAUCUGAUAGAAACCCUUCAUGCUAAAAAGGCCUGAAUUCUCAGUUGUGUUUUCAUGUGUGGUGGAACAGUAGUCAGCUCUGAGGAUACUGCCUCAGACACCUGUGACUCAGCCACACUUAGUCCCCGGAGUCAGCAUUUGCCUCCUGGCUCUACUCCUUGUGAGCAUAGUGAUAUUAGGCUAAUUACUCAAACUUUCAGGUUCUCACCUGUAAAAUGGGCACAAUGAUAGGCCUUACGUGUGAAUUCAUUUUGAGGAUUAAAUAUAGAUAAAAGGCUUCAUACAGUGCCUAGCUCAUCAUAAAUGCUUACCAAAUUUUAGCUUAAAAAAUAAAGUGAAAAAAAUGCCUAAUUUCAUCUGCAUCUGAGGUUAAUUUGUACACAAUUUAGAGACUAACAAACCUCUGGUCAACAUUGCCAGGGAGAACCAAAAAAAGCAAAUGCCUAAUAGUAAUUUAAAAAAAGCAAAUAGUAAUUACACUUUUAGUUUUCUUAUUUUCUACCACUUUGCAGAAGAGUAGAACAUUCACUCUUAAGUGGCGGUUAUAUAUCAGUUAUAAAAGUGUUAAAUCCGUGAAGGCAAAGAAAAAAGAAGAAAGAGACAGGAACCGUCCUGCUGUUGCCAUGGUAACGAGGCAGGUUACCUGGACAAAGAUUUUGGAAAUCUCUUAAAAGAAUAGCCAGAGAUGUUUCUGUCUAUUUUGGGAAGGACAAAGUCUUCCUUUAUCCUCCGCUAAAGACACACAACCACUUGUUUGCUGAAUAUCUCCCAAUUAACUCAGGGCUUGAUCUGAGAGGAGGCAGGAUGUCAUGAGCAGGCAGGUGGCGGAAUGGAAAGGAUCUUGGCAGGGGGCUGCAAGGUAAAGGCAAAUAUCAGUGGAAAAUGCAAGAUCAAACUGCCCAGGAUGGCUAUUGUUUCAUUUAAAAUGUCCAAAGAGCGUUCAUUAAAACAUCAUUCUCACACAGGAAGACCCCCAACUCGUACAGAUUAAGUUUACAAGAAAUUGAAUCCUUAACCAAUAACACUUCCAUUUUUAUUAACAUUACUGACACGAAGUGAUUAAAAACUCUGGUGGGCAAGACUUUCUCUGAAAGUUAUUAUUUAUAUGUAAAGGAAUAAAGAGCUCACGAUGCAUUAAGGGUGUCCUCUC
ensembl:lncRNA